AGUCGUUGAAAAUGAAGUGCGUAUGUAGUACGGAGUAUUAGAGGUAUAAGAAGGUGAUGAUGAUAAACCGCGUGGACUACUUUCUUUCUGCCGCUCUCUUCUUUCUUCAACAUCUCUCUCUCUCUCUCUCCCACUGCAUCCGUGGACCCAUCGAUUGAACGGAACUCCAAACUAAACCGCAAAUUCAGCAUCGGAUGGUUGUCGUUGAGGAUCAAUUAGCAUUAUAGCAUAUUCCCAUUUCCCGCCGCGUUUCCCUUUCUGGGUUUUUCAUUCUUCAUCACAAUCAUAUUUCACAGAGAAAGGGUAAUGAUGUACUGAUUCCCCAAGAUUGCAUGAAUCAAGUGGUGGGUUCUCGAACCACACCUGGUGGCCAAUCAUGACAUCAGACACAAAUACUCCAAGUUACUGGUUGAACUGGAGAUUCCUAGUCUGUGCCAUAUGGGUGUUUGCAGCUAUGGUGGUUUCUGCGCUGAUAGUUUGGAGGUAUGAAGGCUCACCAAAAUCAAGAAAUCAGCAGAGGGAGGAUUUGCAAGAAAAAAUAGGGACUUUGCACAAGGAUGAAGUUUGGAACACAUGUCACAAAUCCAUCCAUCCUGUUUGUCUACUUACUUACAGGAUACUUGCUUUUCUGGUGCUUCUUGCAUUGCUCACUGCAGAUGCUGUCGUCCAUGGUGGUGGCAUUUUUUACUAUUACACUCAGUGGACAUUCACUCUGGUGACCAUCUACUUUGGGCUAGGAUCUGUGCUAUCCAUGUACGGGUUGAAAUCUCGUAAAGAAAUCUCGGCUGAGAGGGUUAACUUUGUAAGUUCAGAUCCCGAGAGAGGCGCUUACGUAGCUCCUGCACUUGGGGAUAAUGCAAGUGCGCCUUGCAUACCCAGUAGCUUGAAUCCCCAAGAUGAACCACCUCUUCUGGAUGCUGCAGGCUUUUGGGACUAUGCCUUGCAAAUCAUUUUCCAGAUGUGUGCAGGGGCAGUGGUUCUUACGGACUUUGUUUAUUGGCUCAUAAUUUACCCAUUUCUCACUACCAAUGAUUACAAGUUAAAUUUUCUGGUCAUUUGCAUGCAUUCUGUAAAUGCUGUUUGCCUUUUGGGCGAUGUCAUGUUAAAUCGCCUCCGAUUCCCUUUCUUCCGAAUUGCAUAUUUCAUCCUUUGGACAUGCGUAUUUGUCACUUUCCAGUGGAUCAUCCAUAUGUGCGUUUCACUAUGGUGGCCUUAUUCAUUUCUUGAUUUGUCAUCUCAAUAUGCUCCCUUAUGGUAUUUCGGAGUUGGGGCUCUUCAUGUUCCGUGCUAUGUUAUCUUCGCACUUAUCAUAAAAAUGAAGAAGUAUUUCUUGUCGAGAUUUGUCCAGACUCCUUAGGAAUAUAAGGCUGAGAAAGAUGGGAAGGCUAUGAAAUAUGAUUCUUAGUCCAAAUAGAUUAUCACUGUACUUGAUUUUCAGAAGUAUUUUGGUGAUAAUAUAGUCCCAUAAAAGGAAUAUAUGAAUUGUUCAUUUGCAAAUUGUGGGACAUUUGAUGCACAAAGCUUUGUUACCUGAAACUGGCAAAAAGUUGAAAACAUGGCAGAAAUUUAGCAUCAAAUUCAGAUUCUGGUUCGUCUUUAUAUGAAUGAUUUGCCCACUUGGUAGAAUGUUUGUUUUGAGAUUUAAGAACACUUACAUAUAUUAAGGAAAACAAUAUGGCUGUGCACACCUUUGUUUA